AAAAAGAAUUGAACAGAGUUGAGAGUUUCCUCAGAAAUUAACAGAGAAGAUACGUAGAUGACAAAUAGCACUUGAAAAAUGUUCAGGAUCAUUAGUUACUGUGGAAUGCAAAUUACAAUCACAGCUACUAGUAUAGGUAAAAUUUUAAAGGUAAGAGUGGAAAAUAACAAUUGUUGGCCAGGAUGUGGAGCAGUAGGAACUCUCCUGGCCUGCUGUGGGAAAGACAAAAUGGUUCAUCCUCUUUGGAAAAUGGUUAAACAGUUUCUUACCAAGUUACACAUGCACUUAACAGACCAGCAAUCCAUCCCAUUUCUUGUGUUUACCUAAGAGUAAAAAAAAAUACAUGUGUACCAUAAGAAAGAGUCUAACAUCUUUUGAUGUUUUUGGACAAUUUUUAAGCCUAACACCUCUCUCUUCCCCUUCUUCCCAGUUUCAAGCAAGCUAAUAAUACCUCAACACAGGUGCUCUCUCACUGCUUUCGUGAAGAUAUGAGGCUCAAACCACACAAGUCCCUGCCCAUGCUCUGGAACCUUCCUCCAGCCCCACUCCCAUAAAACUCCAAGCCAGUCUCCUUUCCUUGAUCUUCUAAGUCAUUUUUUGGGCCUGCUUGGCAAGCAUUCUGCUCUCCCCAGAAAGCCUCCUUAUGUGAAUAAAAGUCUUUUCUUAAUUUGUGCUAGCAUCAUCAGUCUGGACAUCCAAACCAAACUUGGCAAAUCUGCCUCUGCAAGGUGACUGCCAUAUCCGUGCAAAGGCUUGCGUGUGAAUGUUUAUAGGAGCUUAUUGAAAACAGCCAGGUACAGGAACAACCCAAAUGUUCAUCAACUGAAGUUCCUGAGCCAUGACCAUUCCAUUUUGAAGGAGGAUUAGUAUACUGAAGAAGAGAGUAAUGAUGAUGACAGGUGUUUUCCUUGCUAAACUUGAGAGAAAAAAAAUAAAGGAAUGAAGAACAGGUUAGUGAGGAAAGAGAGACAGCGUGAGCAGGGGAGGGGCAGAGACAGAGGGAGACACAGAAUCCGAAACAGGCUCCAGGCUCCAAGCUGUCAGCGCAGAACCCACCUCGGGGCUCGAACUCACAAACUGUGAAAACAUGACCUGAGCCGAAGUUGGUCAUUUAACUGACUGAGCCACCCAGGCGCCCCAAUGUUUUCAUUUUCUUUAGGUAAGUGCCCAGUAGUGGGAUUAUUGGAUUCUAUGGUAUUUCUAUUUUUAUUUUUUUGAGGAAUAUCAGUGCUGUUUUACACAAUGGCUGUAUCAAAUUACAUUCUGACAGUGCACUAAGAUUCCCUUUUCUCCACAUCCUCGUCAACAUUUGUUAUUUUUUGUCUUUUGACACUAGCCAUUCUGACAGGUGUGAGAUAUCUCAUUGUGGUUUUGAUUUGCAUUUCCUUGAUGAUGAGUGAGGUUGAGCAUAUUUUCAUGAGCCUGUUGGAGAAAUAGCUAUUUCAGGUCCUCUACCCAUUUUGAAUCAUAUGACGGUGAUGUUGAUGAUGAUGUUGUUGAUGAUGAUGAGUUUGCUAAUGAGUUGUAUUCUGGAUACUAACCCUUAUCAGAUAUAUCAUUUGCAAACGUCUUCCCCAAUUCCAAGGUUGUCUUUUUAUUUUGUUGGCUUCCCUCACUAUGCAAAAGCUUAUUUUGAUGUAGUCCCAAUAGUUCAUUUUUGCUUUUGUUUAUCUCACUAACUAUAGCCAAUGUCUGAGAAAUUACUAUGUUCUCCUCUAGGACUUUUAUGGUUUCAGGUCUCACAUUUAGGUUUUUAAUCCAUUUUGAGUUUAUUUUUGUGUAUGAUGUUAGCAAAUUGUUUAAUUCUUUUGCAUGUAGCUGUCCAGAUUCCCGAACCAUUUGUAAAAGAGACUGUCUUUUCCCCAUUGUAUAUUCUUGCCUCUUUUGUGAUAGAUUAAUUGACCAUAUAAGUGUGGGUUUAUGUCUGGGAUCUUUAUUCUAUUCCAUUGAUCUACAUGUUUGUUUUUAUGCCAAUACCAUACAGCUUUGAUUACUACAGUUCUAUAGUAUAUCUUGAAACCUGGGGCUGUGAUACCUCCAGCUUUGUUUUUAAUUAAGAUUGCUUUGGUUAUUCAGGGUCUUUUGUGCUUCCAUGCAAAUUUUAGGAUUAUUUCUAGUUCUGAGAAAAAAAAUGCUAUUGGUAGUUUGAUAGAGAUUGCAUUGAAUCUGUAUAUUGCUUUGGAUAGUGUGGAAUUUCAACAAUAUUAAUUCUUCCAAUAUUUGAGCAUGGAAUAUCUUUCCAUUUCUUUGUGUCAGCUUCAAUUUAUUUUAUAUAUAUAUGUUGUACUUUUCAGAAUGCAAGUCUUUUAAUUCUUUGGUUAAAUUUAUUCCUAGGUAUUCUUUUUGGUACAAAUGUAAAUGGAUUUUUAGAAAUUUUUCUUUCUGAUUUGUUAUUAGUGUACAUAUUUCUGGAUAUUAAUUUUGCAUCCUGCAAGUUUACUGGAUGUAUUUAUUCUAGAAGUUUUUUGGUGGAAUGUUUAGGGUUUUCUGUGUAUAGCAUCAUGAUAUAUGCAAAUAAUGACAUUUUAACAUCUUCUUUAUCAAUAAUAAUGUGUCUUAUUUCUUUUUCUUGUCUGAUUUCUGAGUGUAAGAUGUCCAGUACUAUGUUGACUAAAAGUGGCAAGAGUGGACAUCUUUGUCUUCUUUCUGAUCCUAAAGAAAACCUCUGUUUUUACAGAGUAUGUAUGGUGUUAGCUGUGUUUUUUUUAAUGUUGAUUUGGAGAGAGCACAAGUAAGGGAGAGACAGAGAGAGGGGCAGAGGAUCCGAAGGAGGCUCUGUGCCAACAGCUUUGGUGCUUAUGGCAGUGAGCCUGAUAUGAGGCUUGAACUCAUGAUCCAUGAGACCAUGACCUGAGCCAAAGUCAGACACUCAACCGACUAAGCCACCCAAGCACCCCAAUGGGUUUUUCAUAUAUGGCCUUAAUAUGUUAUGUUCCCUUAAGCCCACUUUGUUAUUAUCAUGAAUGGAUGUUGAAUUUUGUCAAAUUCUUUUUCUGAAUUUAUUGAGAUUAUAUAAAUUUUUCCUUUGUUUUAUUGAUGUAGUGUAUCAUGUUGAUUGAGGGGCAAAUCACUAUCAUCCUUGCAUACCCAGAAUACAUCCUACUUGAUCAUUGUGAAGUAUCCUUUUAGUAUAUUCUUUUUUUUUCUGACUAACAUUCUCUUUUUUUCUUCCAACAUAUUAAAUUCACUUAGUUCACAUAUAGUGUAGUACUGGAUUCAGAAGUAGAAUUUAGUGAUUCAUCACUUACAUAUAACACUCAGUGCUCAUUACAAGUGCUCUCCUUAGUGUCCAUCACUCAUUUAGCCCAUCCCCCCACCCACCUCGCCUCUAGCAACACUGUUUGUUCUCUUUAGUUAAGAGUCUGUUCUGGUUUCUCUCCUUCUCUGUUUUUAUCUUAUUUUUCCUUCCCUUCAACAGUGUUCAUCUGUUUUGUUUCUCAAAUUCCACAUGGGUGAAAUCAUAUAUUUUUUUCUGCCUGACUUAUUUUGCUUUGCAUAAUACACUCUAGUUCCAUCCCCAUCACUGCAAAUGACAAGAUUUCAUUCUUUUUGAUGGCUGAGUAAUAUUCCAUUGUAAAUAUACACCACAUCUUUAUUCAUUAAUCAGUCAAUGGACAUUUGGGCUUUCUCCAUAGUAUGGCUAUUUUUUAAUGUUUACUUAUUUAUUUUUGAGAGAGAGACCACAAGUGGGGGAGGGGAGGAGAGAGGGAUGGAGACACAGAAUCCAAAGCAGGCUCCAGGCUCUGAGCUGUCAGCACAGAGCCUGAUGCAGGGCUCAAACCCACAAACCAUGAGAUCACGACUUGAGCCAAAGUUGGACACUUAACUGACUCAGCCACCCAUGCCCCCUUGGCUAUUGUUGAUAAUGCUGCUAUAAACAUCAAGGUGUAUGUGUCCCUUCAAAUCUUUAUUUUUCUAUCAUUUGGUAAAUACUUAGUAAUGCAAUUACUGGGUUGUAGGGUAGUUCUAUUUUUAAUUUUUUGAGGAACCUCCAUAUUCUCCAGAGUGGCUGCACCAGUUUGCAUUACCAUCAAAAGUGUAAGAGAGUUUCCUUUCUCCACAUCCUUGCCAAUAUCUAUUGUUUAAUGAGUUGUUCAUUUUUGCCAUUCUGACAGGUUUGAGGUGUUAUCUCAUUGUGGUUUUGAUGUGUAUUUCCCUGAUGAUGAGUGAUGAGCAUUUUUUCAUGUCAGCCAUUUGUAUGUCUUCUUCAGAGAAAUGUCUGUUCACGUCUGUUGCCUAUUUCUUAACUGGAUUACUUAUUUUUGGGGUGUUCAGUUUGAUAAGUUCCUUACAGAUUUUAUCAGAUACAUAAUUUGAAAGUAUCUUCCCCCAUUCUGUAGGCUGCCUUUUAGUUUUGUUGAUUGUUUCCUUCACUGUUAAGAAGUUUUUCAUAUUGAUGAGGUCCAAAUAGUUCAUGUUUGCUUUUGCUUCCCCUGCCUCUGGAGACGUGUCUACUAAGACAUUGCUCUGGCCAAAGUCAAAGAGGUUACUGCCUGUGUUGUCUUCCAGGAUUUUGAUGGUUUCCUGUCUCACAUUUAGGCCUUUCAUCCAUUUUGAAUUUAUUUUUGUGUAUGGUGUACGAAAGUGGCCUAGUUUCAUUCUUCUGCAUGUUGCUGUCCAGUUUUCCCAGCAUCAUUUGUGGAAGAGACUUUUUUCCAUUGGAUACUCUUUCUUGCUUUGUCAAAGAUGAGUUGACCAUAUAGUUGUGGGUCCAUUUCUGGAUUUUCUGUUGUGUUCUGUUGAUCUAUCUGUCUGUUUUUGUGCCAGUACCAUGCUGUCUUGAUGACUACAACUUUGUAGUAUAGCUUGAAAUCCAGAAUCGUGAUGCUUCCGGUUUUGUUUUUCUUUUUCAGGAUUGCUUUGGCUAUUCAGGAUCCUUCAUGGUACCAUAAAAGUUUUAGGGUUGUUUAUUCUAGCUCUGUGAAAAACGCUGGUGGUAUUUUGGUAGGAAUUGCAUUAAGUGUGUAGGUUAUUUUGGGUAGAACAGACAUUUUGACAGUGUUUGUUCUUCCAAUCCAUGAACAUAGAAUGCUUUUCCAUUUCUUUGUGUCAUCUUCUAUACGUUUUCAGAGUACAGAUUUUUUCCUUUUGGUUGGGUUUAUUCCUAGGUAUCUAAUUGCUUUUGGUGCAGUUAUAAAUGGGAUCUAUUCCUUGAUUUUUUUUCUAUUGCUUCAUUACUGAUUUAUAGAAAUGCACGAGAUUUCUGUACAUUGAUUUUAUAUCCUGCGACUUUGCUAAAUUCAUGUAUUAGUUGUAGCAAUUUUUUGGUGGAGUCUUUUGGGUUUUCUACAUAAAAUAUCAUGUCAUAUGCACAUAGUGAAUGUUUGACUUCUUCUUUGCUGAUUUAGAUGCCUUUUAUUUCUUUUGUUGUCUGCUAAGGCUAGUAUUUCUAGUGCUAUGUUAAAUAGUAAUGGUGAGAGUAGACAUCUGUGUCUUGUUUCUGACCAUAGGGGAAAGGCUUUGUUUUUCCCCAUUGAGGAUAUUAGCUGUGGGUCUUCUGUAUAUAGCCUUUUUGAUGUUGAGGUAUGUUCUAUCUAUUCCUACUUUGUUGAGGGUUUUAAUAAGAAUGGAUCCUGUAUUCUGUCAAAUACUUUUUCUGCAUCCAUUGAGAGGUUCAUAUAAUUCUUAUUCGUUCUUUUAGUAGGGUGAUAUAUCACAAUGAUUUGCAAAUACUGAACCACCCUUGCAGCCCAGGAAUAAAUCCCACUUGAUUUUGGUGAAUCAUUCUUUUAAUGUACUGUUGGAGUCGUUUUGCACUUGUUGACAACUUUUGCAUCUGUGUAUAUCAGGGAUAUUGGCCUGUAAUUCUCCUUUUCAGUGGGGUAUUUGCUUUUGGAAUCAAGGUAAUGCUGGCCUCGUACAAUGAGUUUGGAAGUUUUCAUUUCUAUUUUUUGGAAAAGUUUGAGGAUAGGUAUUAACUCUUUUUUAAAUGGAAGGGCACCUGGGUGGCUCAGUUGGUUGGGCAUCUGACUUUGGCUCAGGUCAUGAUCUCAUGGUCCAUGGAAUUGAGUCCCGCGUUGGGCUCUGUGCUGACAGCUCAGAGUCUGGAGCCUGCUUCAGGUUCUGUGUCUCCUUCUAUCUGCCCCUCCCCACUCACACUCUGUCUCUCAAAAAUAAAUAAAUGUUAAAAAGAAAAAAUUUUAAUGUCUGGUAGUAUUCCCCUAGGAAGCCAUCUGUCCCUAGAUUUUUGUUUGUUGGGAGAUUUUUGAUUACUGUUUCAAUUUCUUUGCUGCUUAUGGUCUAUUCCAAUUUUCUAUUUCUUCCUCUUUCAGUUUUGGUAGUUUGUUUCUAGAAAUUUAUCCAUGUCCUCCAGGUUGCCCUUUUUGUGGGUAGUUUUUCCUGAUAUUCUUGUAAUUGUAUUUCUGAAGUGUUGGUUUUGAUCUCUCCUCUUUCAUUUGUGAUUUUUGAGUCAUUUUUCUUUUUGAUAAGUCUGGUUAAGGGUUUAUCAAUUUUAUUAAUUCUUUCAAGAACCAGCUUCCAGUUUCAUUGAUCUAUUCUUGUCUGUUUCUGCAUUGUUUAUUUCUGUUCCAGUCUUUAUUAUUUCCCUUCUGCUGGCUUUACACUUUAUUUGCUGUUCCUUUUCUAGCUCCUUUAGGUGUAAGGGAAGAUUGUGUUUUUGAGACCUUUCUUGCUUCUUGAGAUAGGCCUGUAUUUCAAUAUACUUCCCUCCUAGAGCUGUCUUUUCUGCCUCCCCAAAGUCUCAACUGUUGUGUUUUCAUUUUCAUUGGCUUCCAUGUACUUUUUCUUAAUUUCCUGGUUAACUGGUUGGUUCUUUAGUAAGUUGUUUUUAACCUCCAUGUAUUUGUGAUCUUUCCAAAUUUUUUUCUUGUGGUUUACUUCAAUUCUCAUAGUGUUGCGAUCCAAAUAUAUGCAUGCUAUGAUCUCAAUCUUUUUGUAGAUGUUGAGACCUGAUUUGUGACCCUGUAUAUAAUUUAUUCUGGAGAUCAUGUGCACUCAAAAAGAGUGUGUAUUUUGCUGAUUGAGGAUGGAAUGUUCUGAAUAUAUCUGCUAAGUCCAUCAGGUCGUCCAGUGCCAUUCAAAGCCAUUGUUUCCUUGUGGAUUUUCUGCUUAUUUAAUUUGUAAGGGGGUGUUAAAGUCCCCUCAUAUUAUUAUCAAUGAUUUUCUUUGUUAGUAAUGAUUUAUAUAUUUGUGUGCUUUCAUGUUGGGGGUAUAAAUAUUUAUAAUUGGUAGAUCUUGUUGAUGGACAGAGCCCUUAAGUAUGAUAUAUAAUGCCCUUCUUAAUCUCUUGUUAUAGCCUUUGUUUCUAAAUUUCUUUUAACACUUAUUCACUCUUGAGAGAGAGACACAAAGUGUGAGUGGGGAGGGGCAGAGAGAGAGGGAGACACAGAAUCUGAAGCAGGCUCCUGGCCUUGAGCUGUCAGACAGAGCCCGAUGCAAAGCUCGAACCCAUGAACAGCGAGGUCAUGACCUGAGCCCAAAUCGGAUGCUUAACCGAGACACCCAAGCACCUUUAUAGUCUUUCUUUUAAAAUGUAGUUUAUCUAAUAUAAUAAGUAUAGCUACUCUUUCUUUGGCAUCCAUUAGCAUGAAAUCUGGUUCUGCAUCCCCUCACUUUCAAUCUGCUGAUGUCUUUAGUUCUAAAAUGAGUCUCCUGGGGGCGCCUGGGUGGCUCAGUCGGUUAAGCGUCUGACUUUGGCUCAGGUCAUGAUCUCACGGUCCGUGAGUUCGAGCCCCGUGUCGGGAUCUGUGCUGACAGCUCAGAGCCUGCAGCCUGCUUCCGAUUCUGUGUCUCCCUCUCUCUCUGACCCUCCCCCAUUCAUGCUCUCUGUCUCAAAAAUAAAUAAACAUUAAAAAAAUUUUUUAAAUGAGUCUCCUAUAUGCAGCAUAUAGAUGGGUCUUGUGGGUUUUUAAAAAAUGUUUUUUUUAAAUUUACAUCCAAAUUAGCAUAUAGUGCAACAAUGAUUUCAGUAGAUUCCUUAGUGCCCCUUACCCAUUUAGCCCAUCCCCCCUCCCACAACCCCUCCAGUAAACCCGGUUUGUUCUCCAUAUUAAUGAGUCUCUUCUGUUUUGUCCCCCUCCCUGUUUUUAUAUUAUUUUUGUUUUCCUUCCCUAAUGUUCAUGUUUUCCCUUACAGUCCUCAUAUGAGUGAAGUCAUAUGAUAUUUGUCUUUCUCUAAUUUCACUUAGCAUAAUACCCUCCAGUCCCAUCCAUGUAGUUGCAAAUGGCAAGAUUUUAUUCUUUUUGAUUGCUGGGUAAUACUCCAUUGUGUGUGUGUGUGUGUGUGUGUGUGUACACACACAUACAUACACACCACAUUUUCUGUAUCCAUUCAUCCAUCCAUGGACAUUUGGGCUCUUUCCAUACUUCGGCUAUUGUUGAUAGUGCUGCUAUAAACAUGGGGGUGCAGUGUCCCUUCGAAACAGCACACCUGUAUCCUGUGGAUAAAUGCCUAGCAGUGCAAUUGCUGGGUCAUAGGGCAGUUCUAUUUUUAGUUUUUUGAGGAAGCUCCAUACUGUUUUCCAGAGUGGCUGUACCAGCUUGCAUUCCCAGGGUCUUGUGGUUUUUUUAAUCUGAUAUCCUGUGUAUUUUGGUUGGAACAUUUAGUCCAGUUACAUUCAGAGUGAUUACUGAAAAAUACGACUUUAGUGCCAUUGUGUUAUGUCUAAAGUUGGUAUUUCUGGUUAUGUUCUCUGUUCCCUUCUAGUUUUUCUUGCUUUUAGGGGUUUUUUUUUGUCCCACUCUAAGAGUCCCCCUUAAUAUUUCUUGAAGAGCUGGUUUAGUGCUAAAUUCUUUUAGUUUUUGUCAGAGAAACUCUUAUCUCUCCUCUUAGGAAUGACAGCCUUGCUGGAUAAAGUAUUCUGGCUGUAUAUUUUUCCCAUUUAGAAUGUUGAAUAUAUCCUGCCCCUCCCUUCAGGCAUGCUAAGUUUUGGUGGACAGAUCUGUGAAUCUUCUCUUCCCUUUUAGAUUAAGGACUUUUUUCCUUUUCUGCGUUUAGGUUUCUUUCCUUGUCUGUGUAUUUUGUGAAUUUGACUGAUAUGCCUUGGUGAUGACCAGCUUUUCUUAAAUUUAAUGGGACAUCUCUGUGCUUUUCGGAUUUUGAUGUCUAUCUUUCCCCAGAUUAGGGAAGUUUUUAGGUACGGUUUGUUCAAAUAAACCUUCUGCCCCUGUUUCUCUCUCUUCAUCCUCUGGGACUCUUAUGAUCAAAUGUUACUCCACUUUAAUAAGUUGCUGAGUUUCCUAAGUCUACCUUCAUGAUGACUGACUUUUGUUUCCUCAUUUUCAGCUUAUUUUCCAUAAUUUUAUCUUCUAUAUCACUAAUUGUUCCUCUGCUUCAUCCAUCCUCACUGUUGUGGCACCCAUUCAGGUUUGCAGCUCAGUUAUACAUUUAUAAUUUGUGCCUGACUAGACUUUGCUUUUAUUUGUACAGGAAAGGAUUCUCUAGGUUCUUCUAUGCUUUUUUGAAGCCCACUAGAAUCCUUGUAAUUGUUUUAAAUAGUACUUCAGACAACUUACUUGUAUCUGUAAUGAUUAAAUCCCUGGCCAUGAUUCCAUCCUAUUCUUUCUUCUGGGAUGAAUUCCUCUGGUUUGUCGUUUUGGAGACAAAAAAAAUAAUAAAAUUUAAAAAGCUAAAAACAUAAAUAAAUAAAGGAAGCUAGAUUCUAGGUUUUAGUCUGCUUGACAGAAAAAGGAAGAAAAAGAUAAAGUAAAAUUAAACAAAGAAAAAUUAGCUCUUUCUGUAUCCAGGAAAAAAAAAAUCCAGAGACAUAAAAACAAACCCAAAGGAAGCUAGAUACUGUUUCCUCUAAAACUGAUGCUUUGCAGCACUCUAUGACUAUAGACUUGGUAAAAAGUCAAAUUUUAAGUGAAAUGGCAAGGUUCUUGUCCUUCUCUGACUUAGUUCACUUAACACAAUACUCUCUAGGUCUGUCCAUAUCGUCACAAAUGGCAGAGUCUCAUUCUUUACAUAGCAAUGUGUAUAUAUACACCACAUCUUUUUUAUCCAUUCAUCUAUUGAUGGGCACUUAGGUUGCUUAACAUAUCUUGGCUAUUGUACAUAACGCUGCAGUUCUCCCAUCACCAUUUGCUAAAGAAACAUUGUUACACGGAACCCGCACUACUGGGAACACAUAACCUUGGAAUGGCCAAAGACGUUCCGAUGUGAGCCAGGUAGAGGCAGCCUCCAUCAUUGUGUCCUGUGUCCCUAUGCAUCUGCAAAUCCUCGGCAUCAUCCAGCUAGCUUGCUUGCUUGCUUUUUUUUUUUUUUUGGUCAGCCUAAUAGUGCAAAGUGAUAGGUCAUUACUGUUUUAUUUUGUUGUGAUUACUAAUGAUUUUGAGCACUUUAUCCUGUACUUUAGGAUUUGGUUUCUUCUGCAAAUUAUGUUUCCUCUUUGUUCAAUUUAGGGGUUGCUGUCAACAGCAUGUCUUAAUUUUGGUUAUGGUGUCACUUGUACAAAAGAUUUAAAUCUUUAUAUAGACUAAUUAUUUUGCUAUAAGUUUUGCUUUUGUAUUAUUUAAUCCUGCUUUAAAAGCCUACUCUUUUCUAAUUUUUUCCCUAUAACUUAAAAAAAAAGUUUAGAUCCUUCACACAUAAAAAACUUAUUUUUGUGCACAGUAUGAGGAAAGGAUCUGCUUCAUUCCAUGUGGAUAGCCAGUCCUUCCAAGAUCACUUACUGAAGCAUCAUUUCUCCAUUCUGAUUUGAAAUGUCACCUAUCGUAUACCAAAUUUCAAAAUAUACAUAGGUCUGUUUCUUGAUCCUCUAUUUAUUGUCUAUUCAUGCACUGAUGCUGCUGGUCUCAAUGAUAAAAUUUAACUUUGUCUUCAUAAUUCACAGGGCAGG